GAUUAUUGAUCAGCCUCAGAAAGCCAAAACUUUUGACAAUCCUCUCCAUUUUCCUCAUUUUCCGCCAAAAUGCAGACCAACUUGCAAGUCCAGAGCUCGAUAGUGGAGCAGCUGCGCCGUGAAGCGAGCAUCAAGCGCACUCCUGUGUCUGAGGCCGUGGAGGACAUCAAGCAGUUUAUCCUCCAGCAUGAACAGGAAGAUUACCUCCUAAUUGGGUUCUCCUCCCAGAAGAACAACCCCUUCAGGGAAAAGUCCUCCUGCGACAUCCUCUAAAUCAAACGUGCAGUUGCAAAAAACUCUUUUUGCAGUGUGGUUGGUGUUACAGUUCUGGGGCCAAGCAUCUCAUCGAUCUCAGUAUUUUGCCUCAAAUGGAAGUUUAAGCCAAGUGCUACUUCUGAUUUUACUUAUACACAAAAUUGUACAACUGGGGAAAGCUUUACUUUCCCCACAAGUAGCUUUGUAUGUCAAUAAAAAUGUGAAAAAAUA